ensembl:snRNA U2 U2 spliceosomal RNA
AUCGCUUCUCGGCCUUUUGGCUAAGAUCAAGUGUAGUAUCUGUUCUUACCAGUUUAAUGAGUGUGUCCGUGAGGGGAGCAUCUGAAUCAGCAGACUGAGUAAAGAAGAUGACCCUCA